CGCGGCCUAUCAGCUUGUUGGUGAGGUAACGGCUCACCAAGGCGACGACGGGUAGCCGGCCUGAGAGGGUGACCGGCCACACUGGGACUGAGACACGGCCCAGACUCCUACGGGAGGCAGCAGUGGGGAAUAUUGCACAAUGGGCGCAAGCCUGAUGCAGCAACGCCGCGUGAGGGAUGACGGCCUUCGGGUUGUAAACCUCUUUUAGCAGGGAAGAAGCGAAAGUGACGGUACCUGCAGAAAAAGCACCGGCUAACUACGUGCCAGCAGCCGCGGUAAUACGUAGGGUGCAAGCGUUGUCCGGAAUUAUUGGGCGUAAAGAGCUCGUAGGUGGUUUGUCACGUCUGCUGUGAAAAUCCAAGGCUCAACCUUGGACUUGCAGUGGGUACGGGCAGGCUAGAGUGCGGUAGGGGAGAUGGGAAUUCCUGGUGUAGCGGUGGAAUGCGCAGAUAUCAGGAGGAACACCAAUGGCGAAGGCACAUCUCUGGGCCGUAACUGACGCUGAGGAGCGAAAGCGUGGGGAGCGAACAGGAUUAGAUACCCUGGUAGUCCACGCCGUAAACGGUGGGUGCUAGCUGUGGGCCACAUUCCACGUGGUCCGUGACGAAGUUAACACAUUAAGCACCCCGCCUGGGGAGUACGG
rnacentral:rRNA from 1 species